AUGGAUCCAUACGGCCAACCAGUCGUCCAAGUGCAACACAUAGGCAUCGACUACGGGUGCCACCAGGAUUACCAAAGCCGCUGCCGAUUCUGCUAAACCAUAUUGAUCGUUGACGCUGGACGGAGAUGACGAGGCAACUACAAUAGCACGUCCAGAUCUUGGCGACCCCUACCGUGUGAUUUGAUUUGUGACCAAUCUGCGAAUCCCAGAAUAGUUGCUAAUUGGGAUUUCAACCAGUGCUGCCCUCGAUGAUUCUUCUAGAUCGAAGCCUCUGUUGUUACAACAUGGGAUCAUAUUCAUUAAUCCACGAGGCAAUACUUUGAGCUCACAAGCACUUUUCAUAUCUACCUGAUGACUCCAAUUCAUGUUUGAGAUAAACCGUCCUUCCUGAAAUUCGAUUGCUUUAAUUUUUGGGGUUGCUUAUUUUUUUUGCUGUAAUGUGGUGUCUGAAAUUGUCCAUGUGCAUCUGGAUACAGUAGUAUCAGUUCUGCAAAAGUAAUCAUUUUAGUUUCCUGCCUGUAUGGAUCAUUGACAAUAAUUUAUUUAAACUUAAUGGCAAUAUAUAUUCAUGAU